rnacentral:rRNA from 1 species
AAGCUCGUAGUUGAAUUUCGGGAUCAAAUUGUCGGUCGUGCCUCGGUACGUACUGGCGUUAUUGGUUCCUCCCUUCUGAAGAACCACGAUGUCAUUAAUUUGGUGUCGCGGGGAAUCAGGACUGUUACUUUGAAGAAAUUAGAGUGUUUAAAGCAGGCUCGCGCUUGAAUACAUUAGCAUGGAAUAAUGAAAUAGGACGUUUGAUUCUAUUUUGUUGGUUUCUAGGAUCGACGUAAUGAUUAAUAGGGAUAGUUGGGGGCAUUAGUAUUCAAUUGUCAGAGGUGAAAUUCUUGGAUUUAUUGAAGACUAACUACUGCGAAAGCAUUUGCCAAGGAUGUUUUCAUUAAUCAAGAACGAAAGUUAGGGGAUCGAAGACGAUCAGAUACCGUCGUAGUCUUAACCAUAAACUAUGCCGACUAGGGAUCGGAUGAUGUUAAUUUUUUAAUGACUCAUUCGGCGCCUUACGGGAAACCAAAGUGUUUGGGUUCCGGGGGGAGUAUGGUCGCAAAGCUGAAACUUAAAGGAAUUGACGGAAGGGCACCACCAGGGGUGGAGCCUGCGGCUUAAUUUGACUCAACACGGGGAAACUCACCAGGUCCAGACAUAGUAAGGAUUGACAGAUUGAGAGCUCUUUCUUGAUUCUAUGGGUG